UAAAGAAUGCCUUAAAGCAGACAUCAAUGGCCUGAAGCAGAGUGUCGUGUUCCACAGCCUGUCCAGCAAUGAUAAAGGUCUGAGUUGUAUGCCGAUUGUCAUUUCCCAGUGUCAGGACAUAGGGGUAAGGUCUGGAUGCCAUGGCCUCAUGGAGGUACUCCACCAUAUUUGUUCCAGGCUAAAAAAGAUAGAAAGAAUGCAAAAGAGUAAGUGAGAGUGAGAAAGGACCAUUUUAAGACAAAGAAUAGUUAGGUUUAUAAAUUGGAAAAGAUUCAAAGUAUCUCAAAUUCAAAAUUAUAAACAUGAGUACUCUACCUUCUAUUGCAUAUAAACAGAAUAGUUAAAAUUAAACCUUCAGACCAGAAACGUCCUAAGCAGGCACAAAUCAAUUGUUUAUCAUUACUAUUAACAUGCUCUGUUAAAAGACUGCUGCCCACAAAUCUGACCAUUGUAUCUGGCCAAUUGGCAGCAGGAUGGUUCACUUAUCAACAGGGUGUCUGCAGGUUUUAACAAGUGCAAUUUUAGACUUUUUUUUUAGACCAUCAUGGGUUAAAUUUAAGACCUUCACGAAUUAUUAAAAAAAGAAAUAAAGCCAGAUUGCAGUCAAUUGACAUUUACUGUCAAUGAAACAAACAUAUAUACAUCCAUUAUUUUACAUGCUUCUAAGCUGUGCACUUUUGGUGGCAAUUUCAUCCACCAGAUCCUUAAGCUGGGAGAGUUUGUCUUUAGCAGCCCUCCUCAGUGCAUUUUAUUUUGAGAGGAGCUGUACCAUUUUGCACCCAGCCUUGCCCUCUGCUUGCUUCCUGUCUCUCUCUGCCCCCCCACCCCCACCAUCACCCACAUAUUCCUCCCCUCCACCCCGCGUUAGACGAACACUUAAACUUUAUUGUCACAAAAAAUCCUGUCAUAAAACAGUAUUUUAGUAUCGCUAGCUAUGUUGUAAAAAUGUGCGUAAAAAACUGUGUAGCGCGACGGCUAUUUUUUUGCUCGAUUUUAAUGUUGUGCCCUAGAAAGGGUACUGCCUUCGAAGUGUACAAGGUGAAGAGUAACUGUUUAUUAUACUUUGGGUCGAUUGACAAAUAUCUUUCAGUUAUGAUUAAUUAUCUUAGUAUCUAUAAUUACUUAAUCAUUGUGUGAAACCUUGUAUUUUAUAUGCAUAACCAAUACUCACAUUACAUUUGAUUAUUUUUAUUACUCACAGUGUAUUUUACACGCAUUUAUAUAAAAGAUUAACCAAUAAUCACAAUAUAUUCUUUACAUAUAUAGUAAAACACUGUUUGAUCAAGCAUGUGACUAACACCACCCUUAUUAUGACAAAUUAACCCACAUGAUACAUAAGGCGUAUAUUAACACAUAGGACCUAUUAUAUGGCGGACUAAUCACGCGCUAUUAACACAGUAACAUAUAAUAUAUGGAACCCAUUGUGUGAAGCGUAUAGCUUAUGCUUGAAGCAUUUCGUUUACUGCAUGUUUCUGACUAACAAUGAAUCAUCAGCUAGUGCACUCUGUAUGAACUAAAUUGAUACAAAGGAGGCUUCGGGACGAACAGUGUGGCCUUUCUCUCUGUGCGUGCAAAGUCCUUCACCUACCAAAGCGGGAGGAGGACACGCGCACAUAGGGAGAGCGGCACUGUUUAGUUACUGAAACAAUAUCGCACUGUCUGACUGGACCCAGUCAAUUCUUAAAACAAUACCACACUGUCCGGCUGGAUACAGUCAAGGCCAAACACUAGUGGUCCGGUCAGACCUGUGAAACUUGAGCACUAACACAUGAAAUUACGCAUACUAACAUGAGAUGAUUUUAGCAACGCCUCAUCACGUCAUUUGGGGUAUAAACAUGGAGUCAGAUCAGAGGGGGGUCAGAACUUAUGCCGGGACGGCUGUUAGACGGUCUUUCAUGUGUGGGUUCUCCUGAAUAUUCAGAGCUUUGUAAUAAAUACUUGGUUUGCUUUCACUUCACUCCACCUGUCUGACUCUCUAUCAAACGAACACGUAGGGGAGUUGUACCCCGGACGAGAGGUGGGGGUAGCCCACCUUUCAUUUUCUUUUCUACAACAAUUUGGUGACCCCGACCUCUGAACCAGUCUGACGGAGGACAGUAUCUGGCACUGAUCCACUCACGGCCGAACUUAACAAAGCAGGUAAGCAGAGCCGGUUUAAUCAAAUUCUGCAUAUUGGCUAUUUCAAAUUUGAGUGGAUCGGAGGCCUGGCUGCUGUCCGGAGGGGAGCAGGCAGCAUACCAAGCUAUUUAAUUGAGAGUAGAAGUUGUGCCUACUCCAGGGUUUUAAAUGAGAAUAGAAGCUGUUCCUAUUCCAGGGUGUUAAACGGUAGACGCUGUACCUACUGAUUUUAAGGAUUGGAAGCUGGCGUGUCCCCCCGGCUUCUGACGAGAAGUUCGGAUAAAGGCCAGGUGUAAGGCUCACCUCGAGAUUGAUCCGCUCGUAAACAAGCCAGAGUAGACGCUGUACCUACUCACCUCUAUUUUAAUUCGGUUAAAAAAAAAAGAGAAGAUGCUGUACCUGCUCGGGUAGACGAAGUACACUACUUCUCUAUUUUAAUUCGGUUAAAAAGAGCAGAUGUUGUUCCUGCUCGGGUAGACACUGUACACUACUUCUUCUCUAUUUUAAUUCGGUUAAAAAGAGCAGAUGUUGUGCCUGCUCGGGUAGACGCUGUACCUACUUCUCUAUUUUAAUUCGGUUAAAAAGAGCAGAUGUUGUGCAUUAAAUACAUAGAAAAACAUUAAAUACAUAGAAAAAGACAAUAAAAUAAAAAAUAAUAAUACUCAAGUGUUAUAUGAUUGUUAAAACAGAAGCAGAUGCUGUUCCUGCUCAAGAAAUUUGGUAAAAAAUUAAUAGACGCUGUACCUACUACGUAUUAAUACAGAUAGAAAUAAUUGACAAAAGAUCGGGUUAAUAUAUUGCGCGUUUCAUGUUGAAAGUUGCGGGCUUUAAGAAGCGUGACUGGGACCAUAUGGAAAGCCUUCAUUAGCGCGUGAGUGUUAGUUUAAAAUAAAUGAGUAGCUUAAAAGUGUGAACGGGGGUCCUUAGGUAUAAUCGAAGGCAGACCGGGAGCGGUAUCUCGCGGGUGGGCAGCGACCCACUGCUUGUGUGCAUGGCUUAUUCGUGUCUUGUCUGGGGUAAAAGAAAACAAAUACAGAGGGGUAUACAUAGCAGUAUAAACUAUAAGUUUGAGGGAAGUGAGUCUGUGGCCAAUAAGUGUGAGAGAGUAUGCGUGUGUAUGUGUGCUUAUUCCAGGGACUGAGUGUGUCUGACUUUGUGAUUGUGUAUGUGCGACUGACAGAGAGAAAAAGAAAAGGGUGUACGAGUGUCUGUUACAGGGAUUAAAAGUGUACCUGUGAGUGUGAAAGUGUGCGUGUCCAGUUUUCCUGAGAGAGAAACAGAAAAUGUGUAUCUUGUGUGGCGGAGAGAAAGAAUGUGUGUGUGGCAGUGAGUGAGAAAGUGUAUGGCAGCAAAUUAAAGAGUGUGUGUAAGACAGAGUGAGUGAAACAGAAGUGUGUGCGUAUGUGUUGGAGUGUGUGUGAAACUGUGUGUGAGCGGAGCUCCUGUGAGCAGUGUGAUUGGUUGAGUGUACGAAAUCUUGUGUGACAACGAAAUAGGAAUGGAUGAGUCCCACUGCAGGGGAGGAGUCCAAGGUGAAGUAGGGAAAUAGAGUAAUACACAGUGAAAAUGGGGGACAGAGGUGAAAAGGUUUUUGUAUGGAUAGACACAUAUAUAUAUCAGAAAAUAUAUAAGGCUAUAAAAAACCUAACUAUACAGGGUAAAGAUCUAUCUGUAAACGGAGCAGUGCAGUAGAUAUUACUAAUGGUCAUAAAUAAUUAAAUAAAUAAAAGAGUAAAGUGCGAUGACAUCGAUUACGAAAGUGACUGAUGUGACAUAUAACUAUAAUAUAAUAUAAUAUAAUAUAUGCAUACGUUAUAAGACAGUUCUACAAAGAGAAUGUGAAAAUGUGAAUACCCAAUCAUGAGUAAAGUGUACUUUAAUGUAAGCGAGGUUGGGGAAGUGUUAAUAUAAAUAAUUGAGUUGUUGAAUAAUGUCCGAGUGGUGUGUGACUGGAUAGAUAAUUAGAGAAUUUAGAGAAUUUAAUAAAGGGAUUAUGGAGACAGAAUUGAUGAAAAUAAUUAGCUUAAUUUUGGGUAUUGGACUAUAUGUUGGGGGCCCUAACCUAACAGGGACAUAUGUCUCACUCUAUAUUCUAUAAGCAAAUCUAAUAAUGAAAAUAAUGAAGGUGUGUGGCUGUGUCGGAAUCGUUUCCUAUUGCAGAAAUACUAAGCAAUUUGGAUUGGCCAUUUUUACAAUGCUUUGUCGAAACUCAGCAGUACAUUUUUCCCCCAUAUAGUUCACUAUUAAUUACAUUAUAUUAUAAUAAUAUUGUACAGAAGAUGUACGCUUGACAUCCCAAAAUAUACUAUGCCAUGCAGUACUGUUGUGUCAGAUGUCCACAGAGCAGGACAAAUAAACAUGGUUUCUUGUUUGAUUGUUAAAUAAUCAGUUCAAUAAAUAGAAAAAUGCUACAUCGUGAAUAGUGAAUGAGUUAAUAAGUGAGCCAUUCCAAACAGCUUUUUCUAUCAGGUGAUUUAGUCAAUUAUCUUACCAUUCGUUUCUUAUUCAGACUGAUCUCAGUUCAGUCCUGGCUGAAUGAGACUUAUAUAAGACAGAUGUAAUAUCUAAUUUCUCUAUGAUCUCAUGUAUAUCCGUCUAUGCUGAUAUUUUGAUUCUCUUAAGAGGGAUAGUUGAUUUCAGAAACCAAUGAGGAAAGACCUUAUUUAUUUGAAAAAGAAACUCAGUAUUGGAUGUAAUACAAGCUUUAGUGAAUUGAGUCUUUCUCAUUUUAAAUAAGGGGACAUCAAAUGUGUUUAAAAAUGCAGCUCUCUGUUUUGCUUUACGGUAUUAAAUUAGACUAGAAAGAGAUCUGGAAAACAGCAUAAAUUUAGUUUUCAUGCUUAUACAAUGCCACCUAUAAAACAAAUGCAUAAUUUUCUGGCUGUAGCAUGAACAAAAUCAGCUAAGCAAUAUAAAAUUGUUUCAUCUGCAUAAUGGUAAAGUUUGCAAUCUGAGAAGCAGAGCCAGCAAUAUAAUUUAUGUAUAUAUUAAAUAAAACUGGACCAAAAUUUAACCUUGUGGUACAUCUGUGAGAUACAGAGGCCAAAUCUGAAUAAUUAUUCAUUGACAUGCACUCUUUUGGGUCUAUUCCAGAGCAGUGGCAUCACAGCAAAUAAUUUAAGCUAAAUUCAGUGGGAGAGAAAGGGUGAUACUGAUGGUAAUAAAGAAAAUCUGUAUACAAUAAUAACAAAUAAUAAACCAUGGGUACUUGGUGCCUUGCACGGGCUUUCACGGUACACAUCAGAGUGUGAAUUUAUGAAAGUACGACAUACCUGGGGUUGCGUUCCCUAACUGUACCCUGCAGGAACACUACGGCACUGAAUGUUGAUAAAACUGUGCUGCUACGCUGUGUGUGGUUCAGUGGGCUAGGCUGGUUAGCCAAAGACGGGUAAGAUCCCAACAUACUACAACGGGACAACCUAAGGCAGGCACAGUCUCGAUCUGACCACCACAUGCAUUUUAACAGAAAACGGAGAAAACAUCGUGGAAGGGAAGCGCGGCCCAGGGGGAGAGUGAGUGGAUGAAUGAAGUGAUGGGGUGUGUGUCAGUGGAGGCCUGGGCAGGGUAGACCGGCCCAAUGGACAGUAAGAGGGUGAAGCAAUUUUGCGUUAAGUUCUCUGAAACAGAAAUUCUGUUUCAGAAAAAGGGGGAGAGGUAAAUAGAUGAUCAUUAUUACCACCAUUAUUUGCCCAAGAAUUAUUUUAUACUUUUAUCUUUUUUUUUUAAACCUAUUACCUUUUUCAUCCCUCACCACUAUUACUAAAAUUUUUGACCAAUCAUUAUUUUAUAGAUAUAGAGCAUUUUUUAAACUUUUAGCUUGUUUAUCUUUUAAAGUUUGAUUUUAAAGGUCACCUUCCGCGAAAAUCCGAUUUUUCUUGUUUUUUGUGGAAUACAGUAGGUCUCUCCGAGUUGAAUGUGUACACCUGCACAUUAAACUGUUUUGCAGCCCCCAUUGUCUGCAGGAGCUAAGCAAAGAAAUCCCCCCUCCCCCCCUCCAAAAAACGGGUGAAUUUUGAAUUAUCUUUCUGCCUACGUAGGCAGAAACUCACAGACCAGCCCACCUUGGCUCGAGAAACUCCCAGAGGCGGAGCUGAAGCGACGCAACAUCACCGCUCAUCAGUUAGGAGGUGGGAGGCAGUGAGCGGCAGAGCGGUGGAGGGGCGUCGCAGUGCUCCUAGCCAAUCAGAGGAGAGAUAUUUGCAUGCUGUUUGCAUGUAUGAAUAUUCAUGAGCAAAGCUGGAAUCCGGUCAUUUUGGACACACCCCUAAAACAGUCCAUUAAAAAAGAGCUAUACAGAGACACCUGAGCACUUUUUUUUAACAAAAACGGCUCACAUGUCAUUCAUUCAUACUAGAGACCACAACUAGACAUGUUAAAAUGAAAGAAAAAACGACGGAAGGUGACCUUUAAAACAACCACUAUGCAGAUGAGCAAUUACUUUCAGCAAUAUUGUAACAGUCUUAACUUUAAGACACACUCAAUCCUAACUUUAAAAUAUGAAAUGUAGACACAAAAUUAAACUUUCACUAUUCAACAUGUAAGCCAUUUUUUGAACAAGAAAAACAAUGUGUGAGGCUUGAUAAAUUGUUUAAGGAAAUAGAUGCAUUGUUGAUAACUGUGAAAAGCAAUCUGCUGUGCAUUGCAUAUGCAUAAAUACAUAUUGAACAUAUUGAUCAGUAAAUGUAAAGCAUUGUUCGGAUUUACUUGCUAUAAUAACGUGGACAAAGCAAAGCAUAACAUCUGUGUUUAUUAAUAUUGAUAAUAUUAUUGGUUGUAAUGGAACGAUUGAUACAGAGAAAAAUAAUCACGUUCCACUUAUCCCAAUUCUUAAAGCACUAAAUAAAAUCAACUAAAUCUAGAAAUCAAGGCUUUAUAAAAAUCUUGGGAACUGAAUAAAGUUAGAAAUAUAAUUACUUAAUAAAUAGCACACCGCGGAAAACAAUGUAGCCACAAGCGGUGAUUCUAAAGUCCAAGCAAAAGUAACCCAAGAAAGCCCAGUACAUCAAUAUGGACCCAUUCCUGAGACAGAAGCCACAUUAGGUGUAGUUUGUGCAGAAUUAAAAACUUUGGGCCCUGAUAUUCUAUCAAUCAGUGUGGAGAUGAAUGGGAGAAUAGAGCAGCGGAUCAUUAAAACUUUGCAUGGAGCAAUAAUAAUAAACAUGAUUUAGAUGUAUUUCCAAGUGUUUGUUUCUUAACUAUUAUCUAUAUAGUGUUACCAAUACAAUAUGAGAAGCUUUCAGUGGUAGGUCUAACAGCAGGUGUGUUUAAAGCAGCAGCACUGUGCUGUGAAGCAGUAAAAUAUGGUUUGUACAAUGAUGCUGCAGAGUUGAGGUGUGUGAUCUUUAGCUUGGUUAGUGUUUGUGAGAGUGGAAGUGUAUGAGCGUGUGUGCAUGCAUGAGAAAUAGUGUGUGUCUAGUGGUAAACUAGGUGGUGAAAAUUGGAAGUGUUUGUAAGAUCUAAUUUGGAUAUAAGAGAUUAGUUAGAGCAACAGGGAAGCAGUUACACUAAAAGGGAAAGGGAUGUGAACAAAAGUAAGGUAAAAGCAAGUAAUUAAUGGUGAUGAUAAUUAAAUGUUGCAAUUUAAAAUUGAAAAUUCCUAAAAGUUAGGGAUUUAAAGAAAUUACUAAAUGUUGGGGAUUGAACGCACAUUUGACAGUAAAGAUCAUGAUUGAGUAUAACUGGAAAUCAGGACAACUGAAGAAGGUAAGAAAACAAAAAUUGGGCUGAAAUCUGUGCACAGACAAAAUUUAAAUAUGAAAUAAUUAACUUCUAAGGGGAAAUUAGAGCUCAAGUUAAGUGUGAUAAAUGUAUUUUAACCAUGUAUUUUAACUUGCAGGAAGGAGACACGGAGGACCCCUUAAAAGACUUCCAAAAUGAAUAGAGAACCUUAAACAUGAUUAUAACGAAUACAAAAGUCUCGUUUCAGAUCUGUUUACACAGGGGGAGAAGGAGAACGUGGUGCAAAGGUGGACCAGUCCAGACACAAAGUCAGGGCUCCUCCGCCAUUGCGCACGAAAGGGGAACGAGCCUGGCUGGAUUGAGCCUUUCCAGGUGACUGAGAGAACAACGUACGCAGAUCAACUGAUAGGCGAGGGUUCGACAGCUGUGCAACAACAGAGAUCGCUCACAGAGCAAGCGGGAAGAGACAGCAGCAGCAGCAGGAAGGAGGGGCAGCAGAACCCCCGCAGCACGGGCCUGGCCUGGCCACAGCAGAGAACAGAGUUUCUCAGAGCGCAGCAGCAGACAGCACACAGCCUGGCUGUGACUGAGGAGCGGAAGUGAGGGAGUAACUCAUUCAGCAACGUUUCGAUUGCGUCACAGUACACUACAUACAGAGACUCUUAAACACAUCUCAUUAAAAGAACACACAUAGUCUUAUCACACACCAACUCAUACUUUUCAUUCACUGAUACUGCAGACAUCAAGAGCCAGAAUAAAGCUCUUCGUACGUGGGGCUGAGGUAGUCUACCUUCCUAACCCUGAAACAAGAAGAAAGAAGAAACGAACAACACGCAUUGCAACUUUAACAUUUACACAUAUAGGGUUAUAAACUGUGAUUUGCUAAAUUAGGGGGGGGGAACACAUUAUUUUUCUUUACAGGUUGUCCUGGACCUUGUUUUUCUUUACAGGUUGCCUUGGACUCUUCAGAAAACGGAAUUGUAAAAAAAAAAAAAAAUAAAAUACACUCUGUAACCUUAACACUUACACAUAUAGGGCUAUAGGUAACAAGUUUAUUAAAUAGUGGGAAACUUAGAGGGAAAACACAUUUAUGGUUUAAUAAUGGCUUGGUACGGAAAAAGGGAGUGGGACAGGUAAAAGUACGGACACUAUAACCAACCAGCAUUUCCUCCGGCUAUUCCAAUAUGGCUCCAGAUAAUGAUAACCGUUGCCCUAAUGGGUAUAAUGAUAAUAAAGACUAUAAACCGCCAUAUAUGUUACCUAUACUGGAGUGUGAGGAAGAGCAGGAGGAAAUGCUGUAAACCAACCAGUCUUGGGGAUGACUUUAAGGCAAUGAUGUCACUUCCUCCUUUGAUAGAGUUCGAAUUAUUAGCCGCCUGGCGGCAGAGGGGCUGUGGGAGAAUUUUUCCUGUCAAAAAUUGGUUGGAAGGCUGCCGGACAGGUUUUCGCUCCCACCAUUAGCAAAAUGUUCACACAUAUGUUUAUCAAGUGUUGAACAUAUGUAAAUACAUAUUAGGAGGUAUUACGAUGUGUUGACGUAUCUGGUUGAUACGUCAAAAGGGAGAAUUGAAGAGUAACUGUUUAUUUUACCUUGAGUGUAUUGACAAAUAUCUUUCAAUUAUGAUUACUUAUCUUAGUAUCUAUAAUUACAUAAUCAUUGUGUGAAACCUUGUAUUCUAUAUGCAUAACCAAUACUCACAUUGUAUUUGAUCAUUUGUAUUACUCACAGUGUAUUUUACACGCAUUUAUAUAGAAGAUUAACCAAUACUCACAAUAUAUAUUAUUUACACAUAUAGAUAAACAUUGUUUGAUCAGGCAUGUGACUGACACAGACUCUAUUGUAACAAAUUAACCCACACGAUACAUAAGGCGUUUACUAACACAUAGGGUCUAUUGUAUGGCGGUCUAACCACGCACCACUAACACAUUAACAUAUAACAUAUGAGAACUAUUGUGAGACUUAUAUAGCUCAUGCUUGAAGCAUCUCGUUUAUCUGCAUGUCUCUGACUAACGGCCAUCAAUCAUCAGCUAAUGCACUCUGUAUGAACUAAAUUGAUACAAAGGAGGCUUCGGGACGAACAGUGUGGCCUUUCUCUCUGUGCGUGCAAAGUCCUUCACCUACCAAAGCGGGAGGACACGCGCACAUAGGGAGGGCGGCACUGUCUAAUUACUGGAACAAUAUCGCACUGUCUGACUGGACCCAGUCAAUUCUUGAAACAAUACCACACUGUCCGGCUGGAUACAGUCAAGGCCAAACACUAGUGGUCCGGUCAGACCUGUGAAACUUGAGCACUAACACAUGAAAUUACGCACGCUAACAUGAGAUGAUUUUAGCAACGCCUCAUCAGCAGGUUUCACGUCAUUUGGGGUAUAAACAUGGAGUCCGAUCAGAGGGGGGUCAGAACUUAUACUGGGACGGCUGUUAGACGGGCUUUUCAUGUGUGGGUUCUCCUGAAUAUUCAGCACUUUGUAAUAAAUACUUGGUUUGCUUUCAACUUCA